CUCAGUAACACGUGGAUAACCUACCCUUAGGACCGGAAUAACCCCGGGAAACUGGGGAUAAUACCGGAUAAAUCAUAGAUGCUGGAAUGCCCUAUGGUUCAAAGCUCCGGCGCCUAAGGAUGGAUCUGCGGUCUAUCAGGUUGUAGUGGGUGUAACGUACCUACUAGCCGACGACGGAUACGGGUUGUGAGAGCAAGAGCCCGGAGAUGGAUUCUGAGACACGAAUCCAGGCCCUACGGGGUGCAGCAGGCGCGAACACUUUACAAUGCGGGAAACCGCGAUAAGGGAACCCCGAGUGCCAGCAUCAAAUGUUGGCUGUCCAGAUGAUUAAAAAUCAUUUGUUAGCAAGGGCCGGGCAAGACCGGUGCCAGCCGCCGCGGUAACACCGGCGGCCCGAGUGGUAGCCGCUAUUAUUGGGUCUAAAGGGUCCGUAGCCGGUUCGAUAAGUCCUCUGGGAAAUCUGGUUGCUUAACAAUCAGACUGCCAAGGGAUACUGUCGAACUUGAGACCGGGAGAGGUAAGAGGUACUUCAGGGGUAGGAGUGAAAUCUUGUAAUCCCUGGGGGACCAUCUGUGGCGAAGGCGCCUUACCAGAACGGGUCCGACGGUGAGGGACGAAAGCUAGGGGAGCAAACCGGAUUAGAUACCCGGGUAGUCCUAGCUGUAAACGAUGCUCGCUAGGUGUCAGACACGGUG
rnacentral:rRNA from 1 species